GUGUAAGAUGGUGUAGUGGUAACACUGUCGUCCUUCACAUGGGAGACCGGGGUUCAAAUCCUGGUCGGGACG